rnacentral:misc_RNA from 1 species
CACGCGGACGGACCGCCCCGCGCGGGCCUCGGCGUCCAGGAGCUCCGCCAGAGUCUCCGACCCCGCGGCCUCCAUCCGGCGCACGUAUUCCGCGGUGUCCGGGCACGAGGAGAUCCCGCCGUCGUCGAAGCCGUCCGAGAUGGCGGCCACGGGGAUGGGGCACGACCUGGAGGUGGAGGUGGUGGAGAGGACGUGGCGGGAGACCACCAAGGUGGGGCGCAGGCCGUGGAAGGCCAGCCGCCGGCCAAGCUGGAGCAUCGGGUUCGCGUGGCCCUGCAUCCCAGGGAACGGCAGGAGCAGGACGUGCGCGUCGCCGCCUUGGACGAUUGUGGUUGCGGCGCCGUCGUCCAUGGCUCCGUAUUCGUCGCGUUGCAACUUGCAAUUGAAAUUGCUACAUGGCUGCUCAGUGCUCACUCGCUGAACUGACUGCGUAAGUAAUGGACCAGUGGAGUAGCGCGCAAGCUUUUUGGAUUGCGAAUGGGGGGAGAGUUAGAUGACGAGCGUGAGCUCAGCUCAAACUCGCCGUUGUGGGGAAGAGAGAACAAGUUAGAAUUCUCCUGCGUUAUUUUAGCGCAAAUAUAGCGAGUGCACGUGGCGGG